rnacentral:lncRNA from 1 species
UUUUUUUUUUUUCCUUAUACCUAUGACUGGAACCAUCCAUAUUAGCAAUCAGUUAAACUCACCCUAUUCAAAAUCGAGUUCAGAUAAAAUUAUGGAUACCUAUAUUCACCCUAUUCAAAAUCGGGUUCAGAUAAAAUUAUGAAUACCUAUAUCCAUUCACAUUCCUAAUCAAUAAUAGUAAUUUUGAAAUAAAUGAAUGAUUUAAUUAUUUUAUUCUAUUUAAUCCAAAAUAAAUAACAUAACUAUAUACAUAUUUUUUUGUCGAAUGAAAAAAAGAAGAGAGUAUAUAUUGUAUUUUAAUUUUUUUUAGGUAUUUAAGACAGAUAAGAAUAUUGAGAAUGAUUUGGUUUAAAAAAAAGUUGUUAAGCUUUAAAAAUUAAAGAAAGAUCGGAAAAGUCCUUAACUUUUUUUUUCAUUUAAAUUUGUAUACAUAGUUAUUUAUUUGCUAAAAAAUAAAUAGAGCCAUUAUAUUUGAUGAAAUCGUCAACAAAUUUGAUAAAAUUAUCAUUUUUUAUACAUUAAAAUUAGUUACUGUUUAGAAAAACUAAAAAUUAAUGGGAUGUCAAUUAAAAAAAUGAAAGUUGAGGGAGAGCUGUUUAAAAAUGGCAUAUAGUUGAGGGGAUCUUCAUACAUAUUUAACAUAAGAGAUAGCUGAGGGUAAGCUAGUCAUUUUAAAAGUUAACUCAUCUUUAGCCAUAUGGUAAAUCUAACGUCAACUAAACUAACGGUAGAAAUAUUGGUAAUAAUUUUUUAUAUUUAUAGAAGCAUAUAUGAUAUUUUAGACUUAAUUUGGAACGGAUGUGUAUGAAAUUGCCCCAAUAAAUAACGUAUAAAAUAAUUAUCGCAUAAAACUUU